rnacentral:misc_RNA from 1 species
GAUGAAGAACGCAGCGAAAUGCGAUAAGUAAUGUGAAUUGCAGAAUUCAGUGAAUCAUCGAGUCUUUGAACGCACAUUGCGCCCCCUGGUAUUCCGGGGGGCAUGCCUGUCCGAGCGUCAUUGCUGCCCUCAAGCACGGCUUGUGUGUUGGGCCCCCGUCCCCGGUUUCCCCCGGGGACGGGCCCGAAAGGCAGCGGCGGCACCGCGUCCGGUCCUCGAGCGUAUGGGGCUUUGUCACCCGCUCUGUAGGCCCGGCCGGCGCCAGCCGACGCCCAACUUUAUUUCUAAGGUUGACCUCGGAUCAGGUAGGGAUACCCGCUGAACUUAAGCAUAUCAAUAAGCGGAGGA